AGGAGGCAGCAGUGGGGAAUAUUGGACAAUGGGGGAAACCCUGAUCCAGCCAUGCCGCGUGAGUGAAGAAGGCCUUCGGGUUGUAAAGCUCUUUCGGCGGGGACGAUGAUGACGGUACCCGCAUAAGAAGCCCCGGCAAACUUCGUGCCAGCAGCCGCGGCAAUACGAAGGGGGCUAGCGUUGUUCGGAAUUACUGGGCGUAAAGCGCGCGUAGGCGGUGAUCUUUGUCAGAGGUGAAAUCCCGAGGCUCAACUUCGGAAUUGCCUUUGAAACGGGAUUGCUUGAGUCCGAGAGAGGAUGGCGGAAUUCCUAGUGUAGAGGUGAAAUUCGUAGAUAUUAGGAAGAACACCGGUGGCGAAGGCGGCCAUCUGGCUCGGUACUGACGCUCAGGCGCGAAAGCGUGGGGAGCAAACAGGAUUAGAUACCCUGGUAGC
rnacentral:rRNA from 1 species